AUAUAAAUGAUAUAGUAAACAUGAUAAGUUGCUUUAUUUUGGAUUUGCACCAAAUUUUUGGCUCCUAAGGCCACUGGAUUACUGUUAUCCUAAAAAAGCCGGUGAAAAAGCCAUAUUUUUAAGUAUGGGUUGAAGAAUUAGCAGUUCUUCUUUACUUUUUCGGGUAAUUAAAAGAAUAAUAAUUCUUUGUUUCUAGAUUCACAGUCUAAUGUUUUUUUUAAACUAUAAUUACAGUAGGUAAGGCCAAGGAUAAUGUUGGGGUGAAUAGAGAGUAGGAGGAUUGGGGUUAGAUGUAGGAGUAUUAGUGUGUGUUCUCGUGUUUGUGAGGGGUUCAUGUUGAGAGUGUGGUUUGUUAUUUUUCCUCGCUGGGUGGUGAUGAAUAUGUAGAGUGAGUAUAAGGCUGUAAUAAGAACGUUUAAGCCUAUGAGAAUGAUUGUAAGGUUGGAUCAUGAGAAAGUUGAAAUAACAAUUAAUAGCUCUCCGAUGAGGUUAAUUGAUGGGGGUAUUGCUAUGUUAGUUAGGGUUGCUAUAAAUCAUCAGAUGGUUAUUAGAGGGAGGAUAGUUUGAAGACCUCGGGCUAGGACCAUAGUUCGGCUAUGAAUGCGUUCGUAAUUAGUGUUGGCUAGGCAGAAUAGUGCGGAAGACGUAAGUCCGUGGGCAAUUAUUAUGGCGGUGGCACCUAUGUAGCUUGAUGGUGUGUUGAUUAUGAUGGCAACGAUUACUAGGGCUAUAUGGCUGACUGAGGAGUAUGCGAUUAGGGCCUUAAGAUCUGUUUGUCGUAGACAGAUAGAGCUAGUUAUAACUAUGCCUCAUAAUGAGAGUAACAUAAAAGGGUAACAUAUAUUGUUGUUGAGGGGUUCAAUCAGGAUAGCUAGUCGUAUUAUCCCAUAGCCUCCUAGUUUUAGGAGGAUUGCUGCUAGGACUAUUGAUCCUGCGAUGGGGGCUUCGACAUGGGCUUUAGGUAGUCAUAGGUGGAGACCAUAUAGUGGUAUUUUGACUAUAAAGGCUAUCAUGCAAGAUAGUCAUAUGAUGUUAUUAGUUCAGGAAUGUUGUAGAGAGUCGUGAGUGAAGAUAAGUAUGAUUAAGUUAAGGGAUCCUAGUGUAUGAUACAUGUUAAGUAAGGCGAUUAAUAGUGGUAAGGAUCCUACCAGUGUGUAUAAUAGGAAGUAUGAGCCUGCAUUAAGUCGUUCGGCUUGAUUUCCCCAGCGUGUAAUAAUAAUUAGGGUGGGGAUUAGGGUUGAUUCAAAUAAAAUAUAAAAUAUUAUAAGUUCUAAGGAUGAGAAGGUUAUGAUAAGUAGAACUUGUAGGGUUAUUAGGAGGGAGAUAUAUGUUUUUUUUCAUAAUAGAGGUUCUUUAUGUAGAUGGUGUUGGCUUGCUAUGAUUAUAAGGGGGGUUAAUCAUGAUGUCAGAAUUAUUAGAGGGGUGGAGAGGUUGUCUGUGAAGAAUGAUGAAGAGAAGAAAGUUGAUUGGUACGGAGAGCAUAGGGUGGUAAUACAAAUUAGGCUAAUGAGGAAACUGUGGGUGGUUGAGUUAAUUCAGAUUAUUUUUGGGCUAGAGAGUCAUGUUAUGGGAAUUACUAUAAUUAUGGGAAUAAUAAUUUUUAGCAUUGUAAGAGGUUUAGGUUUUGUACGUAGUCUGAGCCGUAAGUAUUUGAGAUUUUUACUAGCAGGGCUAGUCCGAUUGCUGCUUCACAUGCGGCUAGGACUAAUAUAAUAAUGGGUAUUAUGAAAGAUAAGUUUAUGUGGAAGGAUGUUGAUAGGAGUGCUAUUAUUAGGAAGAGGGUUAAUAUUAUUCCUUCUAGGCAUAGGAGAGAGGAUAUCAGGUGCGAUCGGAAUAUUAAUAUUCCUGCUAAUGAAAUAAAAAAUGCGAUGUUGAGGUUUAUUAUAGUGAAGGGCAUAUCUAGCAGUUAUGAGCUUUCAUAAUUUAAUGAGCCGAAAUCAAUUGUUUUAGUUUAAACUAACUGCUAUAUUCAUUUCAUUCUAGGCCGUUUUGUGAUCAUUCGUAAGCUAAGCCUAGUGUUAAAAUUACAAUUAGGGCUAGUGCUAUUGUGGUUGUAGAUAAAAUUGAUGGAUAUUGAAAGGCUCAUGGUAGGGGUAGAAGUAGGGCGAUUUCUAGAUCAAAUAGUAGAAAGGUAAUAGCUACUAAGAAGAAUUUUAUUGAAAAGGGUAGGCGGGCUGAAUUAAUUGGAUCAAAACCACAUUCGUAGGGGCUUACUUUUUCUGAAUAUAGGUUUAUUUGGGGAAUUCAAAAUGCAAUUAUAGUUAAUAGGCUGGCUAGGGUUAGGUUGAUGCUUAAGGCAAUAAUUAGAUUUAUUAUUCUUUUUUGGGUUAUACCAAAGUCUUCUGAUUGGAAGUCAGAUAUACUGCUUGUACUAAAAGAAUAUGAACCUCAUCAAUAAAUAGAGAUAUAGAGGAAUAGUCAUACUACAUCUACGAAGUGUCAAUAUCAAGCUGCUGCUUCGAAGCCGAAGUGAUGGGUUGAUGUAAAGUGAUACAGUGUAUGGCGGAUGAGACAGACAAUUAGGAAGGUAGUACCAAUUAUAACGUGUAGACCGUGGAAUCCUGUUGCUAUAAAGAAAGUGGACCCAUAGACUCCGUCAGCAAUAGUGAAGGAUGCUUCCAUGUACUCAAAUGCUUGAAGUAUUGUGAAGUAGAUUCCUAGGGCGAUAGUGAUGGCGAGGGCUUGGGAUGUGUGGGAUCGACUUCCUUCUAUUAGACUAUGGUGAGCUCAUGUGAUAGACACUCCUGAGGCUAGGAGGACAGAGGUAUUAAGUAGAGGGACUUCUAGGGGGUUAAGAGGGAUGAUACCUGCAGGUGGUCAGCAGCCCCCUAGUUCUGGUGUGGGGGCUAGGCUCGAGUGGUAGAAUGCUCAGAAAAAGCCUGCGAAGAAAAAGACUUCGGAGAUAAUGAAUAGGACUAUACCGUAGCGAAGUCCUUUUUGUACUACGGGAGUAUGGUGGCCUUGGAAUGUUCCUUCUCGAAUGAUGUCUCGUCAUCAUUGGUACAUAGUAAGUAUAUUGGUAAGUAGGCCGAUAAUUAGAAGAGUAAUUAUUUUAAAGUGAAAUCAUAUGAUAAUUCCGGAGGUUAAAAGGAGGGCAGAUAGGGCUCCUGUUAGUGGCCAUGGGCUAGGAUUGACUAUGUGGAAGGCGUGUGUUUGGUGAGUCAUUAUGUGUUAUCAUGCAAAUAUAGGCUGACUAGUAGGGUAAACACGUAGGCCUGAAUAAUGGCUACGGCUAAUUCAAGUACGGUGAGGAGUGUUAAUACUGUUAAUGAUAAUAGGGAGGCAGGGGGGCUUAAGGUUAUUAUUGCUAAGGUUGCUCCACUGAUUAAGUGAAUUAAUAAGUGCCCAGCUGUAAUAUUAGCUGUUAGUCGUACGGCUAAGGCAAUGGGUUGAAUGAAUAGGCUGAUUGUUUCGAUAAUAAUUAGCAUGGGGAUUAGAGGUAGUGGGGUACCUUGGGGAAGAAAGUGGGCUAAGGAAGAUUUAGUUUUGUAUCGGAAUCCUAGGAAUACAGCUCCGGCCCAUAGGGGGGUAGCUAUAGCUAGGUUUAUUGAUAAUUGAGUGGUAGGGGUAAAUGAGUGAGGUAUUAGACCUAACAGGUUGGUGGAGGCAAUAAAGGAAAUGGUGGAAAUUAAUAUGAGAGCUCAGGACCGUCCUUUAGUUGAGUGGGUUAGCAUUAUUUGUUUAGUUACCAGUUGGAUUAGUCAUGUCUGGAAUGUUGUGUAACGGUUGCUAAUUAAACGUUUUGGGGAAGGAAAUAUAAUUGAGGGUAAAAUAAUGAUAAUAAUAACUAGAGGGAGGCCUAGGAAUGAUGGGACAAUGAAAGGGGAGAAUAAAUUUUCGUUCAUUUAGAUUCUCAAGGGGAGGUAACUUUGAGUAUACUGGAGGGUUUAGUUGAAGGAGGGUGAUAGGUACUAAAGUUUUUGAUUUUUAGUUGAAAGAUAAUAAAUAGGGUAAUUAGGGUUCCAAAAAUUACUAUAAGUCAUGGUGCGGUGUUUAGCUGAGGCAUUCUCAUUGUGGAAUUAUUUAAUUCUAUCUUUAACUUAAAAGGUUAAUGCUAAAGUAGCUUCACAAUGGUGUCUACAUUGAUGUUGAUCAGGCCUCAAAAUAUUUUAGUGGAACCAUUUCUAGGACGAUAGGCAUGAAGCUGUGGUUAGAUCCACAGAUUUCGGAGCAUUGUCCGUAGAAUAGGCCUGGUCGGGAAGAUGAUACUGUUGCUUGGUUUAGGCGGCCUGGAAUGGCAUCUGUUUUUAAACCUAAAGAUGGAACCGCCCAAGAGUGAAGAACAUCUUCCGAUGAGAUUAGUAUACGAAUGGGGAGUUCCAUAGGGAGAACAACCCGAUUGUCAACUUCAAGUAGACGAAGAUCCCCCGGUUUUAAGUCUGGUGUAUUGACUAUGUAUGAAUCAAAUGUUAAGUCCUCAUAGUCUGUAUACUCAUAGCUUCAGUACCAUUGGUGUCCUAUAGUUUUCACUGUUAGGACUGGAUUGUUAAUUUCGUCUAUUAUAUAUAGAACGCGUAGUGAGGGAAGGGCAAUCAUAAUAAGGAUAAUGGCUGGAAGAAUAGUCCAGAUUGUUUCUACCUCCUGGGCGUCUAUGGUAUUGGUGUGGGUUAAUUUGGUGGUGAGUAUAAGAGAAAUAAUAUACAGUACUAAUGUACUAAUAAGAAAAACGAUUAUUAGUGUGUGGUCGUGGAAGCUAGUAAGUUCCUCUAUGAUAGGAGAGGUGGCAUCCUGUAGACCAAGUUGGAGAGGAUAUGCCAUGUAAGAUAUAUAAGAGUUUCACUUAUGAUUUAACCUUGACAAAGUUAUGUAAUUUUUUUUACUAAUAUCUUAUUGAGAAAGACAUAAUGGUGUAUGGGGCUGGCUUGAAACCAGUUUUAGGGGGUUCGAAUCCUUCCUUUCUUAGUGUGAUGACUUCACGAAAGCAGGUUCUUCAAAUGUGUGGAAAGGUGGGGGACAUCCGUGGAUUCAUUCUAGAUUUGUUGAGGUGAGUUCAACAUAUUUAACUUCACGUUUGGAGGCGAAGGCCUCUCAGAUCAUGAAUACUAUGAGGAUUACUGCGGUUAAAGAAAUAAAUGAGCCUAUUGAUGACACGGCGUUUCAUGUUGUGUAGGCAUCUGGGUAGUCUGAGUAUCGUCGGGGUAUUCCUGCUAGUCCAAGGAAAUGUUGGGGAAAAAAUGUUAGGUUGACUCCAACAAAUAUAAUUGUAAAAUGGAUUUUGGCUCAUAUAUCAUUAAGAGUGUAGCCUGUGAAUAGAGGAAAUCAAUGGACAAACCCACCUAUAAUGGCGAAUACAGCCCCUAUAGAUAGGACAUAGUGAAAGUGGGCAACUACAUAAUAGGUAUCAUGUAGGACAAUGUCUAGAGAGGAAUUAGAUAGUACAAUACCGGUCAGUCCUCCUACUGUAAAUAGGAAAAUAAAGCCCAGGGACCAUAAUAUGGCUGGGGAUCAUUUAAUAUUUCCACCGUGAAGGGUAGCUAGUCAGCUGAAAACUUUUACUCCUGUUGGAAUAGCAAUAAUUAUUGUGGCAGAUGUAAAAUAGGCUCGUGUAUCCACGUCUAUUCCUACGGUAAACAUGUGAUGGGCUCAUACGAUAAAUCCUAAGAAUCCAAUGGAUAUUAUAGCUCAGACUAUACCCAUAUAGCCAAAGGGUUCUUUUUUGCCUGAGUAAUAUGUUACAAUAUGAGAGAUAAUGCCGAAGCCUGGUAAAAUUAGGAUAUAAACUUCCGGGUGGCCAAAGAAUCAGAAUAGGUGUUGGUAUAAGAUGGGGUCUCCACCUCCAGCAGGGUCAAAAAAUGUUGUGUUAAGAUUUCGAUCAGUGAGCAGUAUAGUAAUACCGGCAGCUAGGACAGGUAGGGAUAGUAGUAAUAAUACUGCUGUAAUUAGAACGGAUCAAACGAAUAAGGGGGUUUGAUACUGGGAAACUGCAGGGGAUUUUAUGUUAAUGAUGGUGGUGAUAAAAUUGAUUGCUCCUAAAAUUGAGGAUACUCCUGCCAGGUGGAGUGAGAAGAUAGUUAAAUCUACGGAAGCUCCUGCAUGUGCUAGGUUUCCGGCAAGGGGAGGAUAGACUGUUCACCCGGUUCCAGCCCCAGCUUCUACUAUAGAGGAUGCUAAAAGAAGUAGGAAAGAAGGGGGGAGUAGUCAAAAGCUCAUGUUAUUUAUUCGUGGGAAUGCUAUAUCAGGGGCCCCGAUUAUUAGAGGCACUAGUCAGUUUCCAAAUCCCCCAAUUAUAAUGGGUAUUACUAUAAAGAAAAUUAUGACAAAUGCAUGAGCGGUUACAACCACAUUGUAAAUUUGGUCAUCCCCUAAUAGAGCUCCGGGUUGACCGAGCUCAGCUCGAAUUAGAAUACUCAGCCCUGUGCCUACUAUUCCGGCUCAAGCUCCGAAUAUGAGGUAGAGUGUUCCAAUAUCUUUAUGGUUUGUUGAAAAUAAUCAACGAUUAAUGAACAUAGGUAGAUAGGAUGGCUGAGUAAGGCAUUGGACUGUAAAUCCAAGUACAGGGAUAAACCCCUUUCUAUCAUAGUCCUGUGGUGAAUUUUCAUAUUGAAUUGCAAAUUCAAAGGAGCAGCUUCAAUUCUGCCGGGACUUCUCCCGCCUCUGUUUUUUUUUAGGCGGGAGAAGUAGAUUGAAGCCAGGUGAUUUUGGUGUUUAGCUGUUAACUAAAAUUUUGCAGGUUUAACUCCUGUCAAUCUAGGGAGGACUUAGCUUAAUUAAAGCUGUUGGUUUGCGUCCAGAAGAUGUGAGGUAGGUCUUACAGUCCUUAGGGGCAGAAAUUAAACUUUAGUGUUUACUUAGGGCUUUGAAGGCCCUUGGUCUUUUUAACCUAAAUUUCUAUAGGAGGCAGAGGAAGAAGGGAGAUAGUGGAAGUGACAGUGAAGAUAAAAGUAAUAGGGUAGGGAUUGGGGUUAGAUGCUUGUAGUUAUAUAUUCGUCAUGUAAAUUUGUUAUUGUUUGGAAGGGGAAAUAGAGUAAGGGCGGAUGAGUAAACUAGUCGUAGGUAAAAAUAAAGGUUUAGGAGGGCUGAUAUUACUAUGAAUACGCUUGUUAUAAUGUUUUUGUUGGUGAUUAUUUCUUGAAUAAUGAAUCAUUUUGGUAGGAAUCCUGUUAAAGGGGGUAAUCCUCCUAAUGAUAAGAGGGUAAUCAGGAUAAUGAGGGUUAUUAGUGGGGUAGUGUUUCAUGCUAUUGUAAGGGUUGAAGUGUUGUUUGCUGAUAAAAAAUUUAGGGUUAUAAAUAUAUUAAUUGUAAGUAUAAUGUAAAUAAGUAAAUUUAGUAUUAUUGCAGUAGGGUUGUAAAGUGUUGCUGCUGUUAUUCAUCCUAUAUGUGCAAUUGAUGAGUAUGCUAGGAUUUUGCGUAUUUGGGUUUGGUUUAAUCCUCCUCAUCCUCCAAUAAUAAUGGAUAGUAUGGCUAUUAGUAUUAUUAUGUUUGUGUUUAGAUUGUUAGAUAUUUGGUAUAAGAUUGAAAUAGGGGCUAGUUUUUGCCAGGUUAGUAGGAUUAUUCCUACUAUCAGGGGGAUGCCUUGGGUGACUUCUGGUACUCACAGGUGAAAGGGGGCUAGGCCAAGUUUUAUAGCUAAGGCGAUAGGUAGGAGAUAUUGAGAUAUGUCAUUUUCAUGUUGACUCAUAAUUCAUUGUCCGGUUGAGUUUAGGUUAUUUAGGAUGUAGAAUACGAGAAUUAUUGAGGCGGUUGCUUGGGUUAGAAAGUAUUUUGUAGCGGCUUCUGUGGAUCGAGGGUUAUUUUUAUAUGUUAUUAGUGGAAUAAUGGCUAGUAUACUGAUUUCUAGUCCGAUUCAUAUAUAUAUUCAGUGUGUGGCGGAUAGGACUAUUAUGGUUCCUGCAAAUAUUGUGGUCGCAAUGAGUGAAGAGACGAUGAUAUUUAUUAGUAUGGGAAGGGUUAAACCAACAUUUUCGGGGUAUGGGCCCGAUAGCUUGUAUUAGCUUACCUUACUAGAAUUUAGUGUAAUGGGUAGCACUAAGAAUUUUGAGUUCUUAAGUUAGGUUCGAUCCCUAUAAUUCUAGAAAUAAAAGGGUUAGUACCUUUAUGCUUUACUCUAUCAAAGUAACUCUUUUGUCAGACAUAUUUCUAUAUAAGUGGGGGUAUGCUUGCUGUGGCUAUGGGGAGGGAGAUGUGCCAUAUACAUAGGGCUAAGGUUAGAGGUAGAAAAUUUUUUCAUAGAAGGUGUAUUAGUUGAUCGUAUCGGAAUCGUGGAUAUGAUGCUCGAAUUCAUAGAAACAGGACUGUUAAGAUUAAAAUUUUUAUCAUUAGGUUGGAGGAUAAUAUCUCUGGGUUUGUGAUGGAGUAGGUGGGGCCUAAAAAUAGGAUGGUAGUGAGUGUAUUUAUUAGAAUGAUGUUUAUGUAUUCUGCUAUGAAAAAUAAGGCGAAGGGUCCAGCUGCAUAUUCGACGUUAAAUCCCGAGACUAGUUCUGACUCCCCUUCGGUUAGGUCGAAUGGGGCUCGAUUGGUUUCAGCUAGGGUUGAGAUAAAUCAUAUUAUGGCUAGGGGUCAUGCUGGUAAAAUUAUUCAGAUAAAUUCUUGAGACAUAGAUAAUGAGAUUAUUGAAAAUGGGCCUGCUAGGAGUAUUGUUGAUAGGAGGAUAAUUGCUAGGCUUACUUCAUAGGAGAUAGUUUGAGCCAUGGCUCGGAGAGCCCCGAAUAUGGCAUAUUUAGAAUUGGAGGCUCAUCCGGAUCAUAGGAUGGAAUAAACUGCUAUGCUAGAGGCUGCUAAGAUAAAUAGAAACCCUAUGUUCAUGUUAAUUAGGGAGUGGGGCAUUGGGAUAGGGAUUCAUAAUGAGAGGGCGAGGGCGAGGGCGAGGAUAGGGGAAAUUGAGAAUAGAAUUAGUGAGGAGGUGGCUGGGCGUACUGGUUCUUUGAUAAAUAGUUUGAUUGCAUCUGCGAAUGGUUGGAAUAUUCCAUAUGGACCCACAAUGUUUGGUCCUUUUCGUAGUUGUAUAUAGCCUAAGAUUUUUCGUUCUAACAGGGUGAGGAAGGCUAUUGCUAGUAGAAUUGGAAUGAUGAAUGUAAGAAAGUUAAGGAUAAACAUGUUGUUAAGAAGAGGAGUUGAACCUCUGAUAAUAAAGUUUUAAGUCUUAUGCAAUUGCCUGCUCUGCCAUCUUAACAACUCCUUAUCUUGGAGUGUUAUUUGGUUAUACAACUGCUAUAGCAACUGACGAUUAUCCUGAGACUUGGGGGUCUAGCUUAUGGUUAUGAUUUCUGUUAUUAUCAGGGAUUCUGUUAGA